rnacentral:lncRNA from 1 species
GGCUCCUUCAACCCCUGAGAUCUUAAACAAAAUCUCUGGCUUUUCUUCUGACCUGGGAAGGAGGAACUCCGGCUGCGGUGGCCGUGUGCUGUGAACAGAAAGAACCCGGUGACAAGGGGGUAGGGGGAGGCAGCUGAUACUGUGGUUCUGGGAACAAACUGGCCUCUUCAGCCUGGGCUCAUGUUAGAAUUUUGUUCCCCCUGGCUUGUUGGAAGGAGCAGAUGGCCCAGCAUGGGACAAAUGUGAUCCAUAAUGCAAGGAAUGAGGAAACAUGUAGCCCAAACUAGCCUGUAACUCACUAUGUGGUAACUCCUGAUCCUCCUGCCUCCUCGUGCCAAGUGCUGGUACACCAGGCAUGUGCUGCCACCCAGCGAGGCCAGCAGUCUACCAACUGAGCUAACUGCCAGCUGCUGCCCUUCCAAUUCCAAGCCUGGAAGAUGUGAGUAGCACAGGGCGAGAUUUCUGACCCACAACACCUCCCAUCCCAGCACUGGAGACUGAAGCAUGGAUUCUGAGGCCAGCCUGGGCUACCAAAGAAGACUGUGUUUUAAAAAGAAAAAGAAAAAAAGAAAAUUAAAAUGGACUAACCCUCGAGUGCUCAGAGAGCAGCAGGGGGCCUACCGGGCUCCGCCCACUGCUACAAUGCUUCCCCUUCGAGGUCACUAGGCUACUACCCAGUCGUUGAAGAGGAGUAUAGCUCUGACACCAUGCCAGCAGUUUAAACUGGAUACAGGAGAACUUGCAUGUAAGAGCCACUUCCAGAAGGUCCCAAGAGCACAGAGAUGGGGUGGGGAGUGAAUGGGCACCUCGAACCCUUGUCCCCAUCCAGGGGUGGGAGGGGAUUAGUGUAGGAUGGGAGCAGAGCAUCUUAGUGCAUUAUGGAAAGCUCUGAAGUGGGGGGUCCAGUGACUGCUCUGCUGUCCACAGCCGUGGGCUAGGACAGAUACGGUGGGGACAGUGACAAGGGAGACCAGCAGUCCUGUGGCUGUGGCUGUGUGUGGCCAAGCCAGUGAGACCCUGGGCAUGGCUGGCAUUGUUUAUACGAAUGUGAAUUCUGGGGUCGCCCUGUUUGUGCUCUGAGCUGAGUAAGGCUCUCAACAUAAAUGAGGGAGGCAGGGCCCAGCAAGAUGGCUCAGCAGGUAAAGGUGCUUGCAGCCAGGUCUUGAUGACCCAAGUUCAAUUCCCAUUUGAUGGAAAGAGAACUGACUCCCCUCAAGUGAUCUCCACAUGUGUGUGGAUGCAUUCACAACAGAUAAAUAAUAGCUAAUAAUAGCUAAUAAAUUGUCUUUUUUCUUUUUUCUUUUUGUCUCUCUCUCUCUCUCUCUCUCUCUCUCUCUCUCUCUCUCUCUCUCUCUCCCUAGUUUUUCGAGACAGGGUUUCUCUGUGUAGCCCUGGCUGUCCUGGAACUCACUCUGUAGACCAGGCUGCCUUGAACUCAGAAAUCCAACUGCCUCUGAAUCCCAAAUGCUGGGAUUAAAGGCGUGUGCCACCACUGCCCGGCUCUUUCUCUCCUUAUUAACUACCCACCAUUAAAAGUGGUGAAGAUUGAGUUCAUGGACCAACUAACAACAUGUCAGAAAAUGUUUCUACAAGCAAGCCACACUCCCAUGAUGAAUACAAGGUUGCCGGAGUCCUGUAGCUUGAUAUGGAAAUUAGGGGUCUGGUUUUGCAUAUGUAGCAUCAAGGGCUAGAAAGACUGGGAUCUGAACCCAGGGCUGACUCUAGAGACCUCGUCUGAGAGUCCAGUCUUUGUGCAUGUAUGGGGGUGCAUAUGCACCCCUGCCUACGUAAGAGGUCAUAGGAUCACUUCUGUGUGAGUCAUGUUUCCUUCCACCACACGGGUCGUAGAGAUCCAGUUCAGGUUGUCAGGCCAGGGAGCAAACCCCGAGCUUGCUGGUGCAGGCAGGCCGGUUGGCCUGUGAAUCCCAAGGUCUGGUCUCUAUCUCCCUAGGUUUUUACAGAUCGGCCCAGCUUUGCCAGGCAGGUCACACCGGUACCAGGGAUCCGAGUUCAGGUCUUCACACUCGCCUGCCAGCACUACCCACCCCUGUGAGCUGUGUCUAUGUCCAAAGGUGGAGUUGAGCCUGUGAGUCUUCAGAUCCCUGGCCCUGCCAGGAGGAUGCACACACUCACCUCUCCCUCUUGGCUCGGAGUCUCUGCUCUUCAUAUCUGAGAGAGAGAGAGAGAGAGAGGCAGGUUCAGUGAGUGAGAUGCGGGAAGGAUAGGACCCUGCCCCAAGCUGUCAGGGCCACAGAGGCCAGGCAAAGGGGACUGGGGAUACAGAUGGGGACUGAGCUCCAGUGUGGGGUUGGCUGAACUGGGUGUUGAGAUGAGGUUUCAGUGGUCAGUUUUCUGUAAUAUGUAACUUUUAACUUGAUUUAUUUAAGGUUUAUUUAAUGAUAUUAAAUUGAGUGUGCUUAUAGUGCAGUUCCCACAGUGGCCAGAAGGGGCAUCAGGUGCCCAGGAGCUGGAGUUCCAGGUGUUGUGAGCCACUGUGUUGGUGCUGGGAACCGAACCCCUGUCUUUUGAAGGAGGAGUGGGUGUGAUAACCACUGAGCUGUCAUUCCCCGACAUAGUCACCCCCAAACUCAGGGACGCUAAGGCCGAAGGGGCACUUACUGCAGGACACAGUCUGGCAGCUGCACAUGUUCCAUGGGAAUCAGUCGCUCCAGCUCUUCCAGGCUGUGCACGUACUGGAUUUUACUAAUGAAUUUGACACUGAGGGAGACAAGAGGGUAGACAAGGGGUCACCAGACAGAGCCAGACUCUGCCCCACCUAGCCUGCCAAGUUGCCCAUGCUGGCCUCGAACCCACUAUCCUCUUGUCUCAGCUUCCUCCCCAGACUUUUCUCAUGGAUUGUCCCUGUGUGGACUAUGAUGAACAACAAACACGUCAGAUGUGGUAUUUUAGAAUUUUUUUUACAUUUAUUCAUGGUGUGUGCAUAAAUAAAAGUCAAGAGAACAGC